rnacentral:rRNA from 1 species
GCGCAGCAGGCGAGAAACCUUCGCAAUGCAGGAAACUGCGACGAGGGAACUCCAAGUGCCUACGCUCAGCGUAGGCUGUUCUCAAGCCUAGAAAGCUUGAGGAGUAAGGGCUGGGGUAAGACGGGUGCCAUCUGUGGUAGCAGUCAAUAGAUUCGAUUUGUUACUGCAAGGCAUAAGCCGCCGCGGUAAUACCCGCAGCCCAAGUGGUGGCCGCUUUUAUUGGGCCUAAAGCGUCCGUAGCCGGCCCGGUAAAUGCCUGGGUAAAUCGUGGAGCCCAACUUCACGAAUUCCGGGUAGACUGCCGAGCUCGGGACCGGAAGAGGGAGAGGGUACUUCAGGGGUAGGGUGAAAAUUUCCUUCCAUUAACGCUUUUGCGCGAAGCGGAAAGGGUUAUCACAAU